rnacentral:rRNA from 1 species
GUCCUAUAGAUUUAUAAUUUUAGGUUUGGCCUGCUCUAUGAUUAUUUAAAUGGCUGCGGUAUUUUAACUGUACUAAGGUAGCAUAAUAAUUUGUCUUUUAAUUGAAGGCUAGAAUGAAUGGUUUGAUGAAAAAUUUACUUUCUUUAUUUAAUAUUUUGAAUUUGAUUUUUUAGUUAAAAAGCUUAAAUUUUUAUAUAGGACGAGAAGACCCUGUAGAAUUUUAUUUAAUUAUUUUAAUUAUAAAUUUGUUGUUAUUUUAAUUAUUUUUUUUAAAUUUGAUUGGGGUGAUUUGAAAAUUAUUUUAACUUUUCAUUUAUUUUACAUAAAUUAAUGUUUUAUUGAUCCUAAAUUUUAGAUUAUAAGUUUAAAUUACCUUAGGGAUAACAGCGUAAUUUAUUUGGAGAGUUCAUAUCGAUAAAUAAGUUUGCGA